GUAAUAGGCUACCUCAAAACAAACCUAGCAAUAUGGGCAUGAUCGAAAAGAGAAGGAACCUGGUAGUAGAGGAAGCAAAACUGACUCUCCUAACCAAAGCUAAAUGACAAUUUCUAGGAAGCAAAGGAAACCAAUGAAGCAAAAGGGUUUUUCAUCAUGACAAAGCACCUACUCAUAUAAACCCCAAUGGAAGCCAUCCUAAAGAAAGACAAGCGUGGUAGAGCCCAUAGACAACAUUAAAAAGUAACCACACAAUACCUUGGAGAUGAACAGAGGGGAAAGACCAAACAAGCGCAAGGCCUCUUUAGCUCCUUUAACCAUUGAGAGACUAGGCACCAAUGAAAGGCGCCAGUGGCGUCACCAAGAGAUACCAUGCUGCUACAAAGGAGCCCAUCUAACCCAACGCUUCAAGGAAGAGAAGAGGCAAGGCCAUCGCCAAGAAACCCCCCUGCAUGCAGCCGCGCUGAUCAAAGGGAGACCUUUAAAAUGCCAUGUGCUGCAAAAGCCUAUAAAGCAAAUAGAUACAAAGCUUUAGAUGCACAUCAACAAAACCUUCUCCAAAUACCCAUAGAUAAGUUUAUUAUUUAUACACAACCAUUCUCCCAAAGGUAGAGAAGGCAACCCAACAUUUGAAACAGGAGGAUAGAGAGACCCCUUUUCCUGAAUGGCAGAAAGAGCCGUAAUGCUACUAAGGGACAAAGGCCGAGCUUUAGAACAACUAAAGACUAAGUUGAGAGAAUAGUUUUCUCUCUAUUAAAUAUG
rnacentral:misc_RNA from 1 species